UACAGAGGGUGCAGGCGUUAAUCGGAAUUACUGGGCGUAAAGCGCGCGUAGGUGGUUAGUUAAGUUGGAUGUGAAAUCCCCGGGCUCAACCUGGGAACUGCAUUCAAGACUGACUGACUAGAGUAUGGUAGAGGGUGGUGGAAUUUCCUGUGUAGCGGUGAAAUGCGUAGAUAUAGGAAGGAACACCAGUGGCGAAGGCGACCUCCUGGACUGAUACUGACACUGGGGUGCGAAAGCGUGGGGAGCAAACAGG
rnacentral:rRNA from 1 species